rnacentral:lncRNA from 1 species
GACUGGGGGUUUCAAAAUUGUGCAAGAACCUUGACUAUGGCUGUUGACUUAUAUCCAGAAGGAAUACUUGGUCAAUCUAAGGGAAACGCUCACGCAUUACAGCAUGCUUACCUACUUAGCACAAUUGAUGUCAAUUGUCCAGCUUGUAGAGCUACGAACUGAAACUGAAAUGAUGCAACCACGCCCGGUUCGAGUUCGACCUACUCCUCUUCGUUCAUGCUCAUGUAGCGACGGCGCAGCGAUUUCCCCCAUGCGCGAAUUGCAGCGAAAAUGUGGAGAAUGAAAGGGACAGAAAACAGAGCAUAGGGCCAGUUCGUUGUGAGCGCCUCAUCACUGAGUAAGAAGAUAAUGUAGUACUUUUUUGGGGUUUUCUGCUGGCGUACAAUGGUGUUCCAAUUAGCUGAAGGUAAAUUUACUACACAUCAAAAUAUGAAGAGUUUACAGGUUCAACCAAUAACUGUUCAUUUGAUCCAUUGAUGCUAAGAGGCUCGAGUUCGUUCAUGGAAUAUCAACUGCCACAGAAGUUUGUUACCGUUGAAGGAUAACUCAAAGUGUAUCUGUUUAACCGAAACUCAUCAAGAGAGCUUGUCUAUCUUGCAGCGUUAAAAAAAGCCUCUCGGAAUUCUGGACGAUUCAAGAGGACUCCAUGCAUUGCGAUAAUAGAAAGGAUUAUCUUCAGAUCUAGGUACUGUUUGUUAUGUUUGUCUCCAGAAUCAUAGAU